rnacentral:antisense_RNA from 1 species
GUGGGGCAGGGUGGCCUGGAGUGGGGGUGGGUAGUCAGUCAGGAAUGAGAGGUGGCUUUUUAUUCAUGAAGAAGAAAAUUCCCAGGGAACAGGAUGGCAAACGAGAAGGAAGGCUAUUGUGUAUGAGUGUACAGGUUGUACCCUGCACACUGGGGUUUGGAAGAGGAGACACACCAUAUAUAUUCCCCAAGUCAUGAAAGAAAUAAAGAAAAGACAAAGAUAACCUAGGUCAAACAAUGAAAGAACCAAAAAUGGAAAGAGGAAGAAAGUACAUGAAGUCGUGAAACAAAAUCCUGAAGAGUUUUCUGAGACUCGAAUGAGAUUAAAAGGCAUGAAGAACUCCAGAAAUGCAGGCUGCAAUAAUUAUUACUCUGAUCGUCAAUAGAAUCCAGAAUGCAACCAUCCAGAAGGGCAGGCUUUGGCUGCAGUGUUGCAGGGAGCGCCAGAUUGCAAGCCAAAAGAAAUGGAGAUGUAGGAAGGAUGCUACCACGGGGAGGCGGGUGUUCUCUGGAUGCAGAAGAUGAUAUACAGUCAUCAGUUACACACAAAUGUCAGGGAUUCUUCACUCAAAAGAAAGGAGAAAGCCACCACUUUGAAAGAAAGGAAAUAGUCAACAUAUUUGACAACCAGUAUGGAAUGGACCUGACCAAUGGGAACAGUGACACGAGCUGAAAUUCACUUCAGCUUUUGGGGUUGCUGCCACACUUGGGUAGAGACCUAAAGACCAACUUUUCUUUAACCUGCAUCAUUAAUCGUAUAAACCUUCCAGCUCACAGGUAUC